rnacentral:rRNA from 1 species
UACAGAGGGUGCAAGCGUUGUUCGGAAUUAUUGGGCGUAAAGCGCGUGUAGGCGGCUUUGCAAGUCGGGUGUGAAAUCCCUCAGCUCAACUGAGGAAGUGCGCCCGAAACUGCAGAGCUUGAGUACCGGAGAGGAUGGCGGAAUUCCCCAAGUAGAGGUGAAAUUCGUAGAUAUGGGGAGGAACACCGGUGGCGAAGGCGGCCAUCUUGACGGAUAAUGACGCUGAGACGCGAAAGCGUUGGGAGCAAACAGG